GAAAUGCGAUAAGUAAUGUGAAUUGCAGAAUUCAGUGAAUCAUCGAAUCUUUGAACGCACAUUGCGCCCCCUGGCAUUCCGGGGGGCAUGCCUGUCCGAGCGUCAUGUAGAAGCUCAGGCUCGAGCCUGGUGUUGGGCCCGACGUCGCCGCCCGCCGGACCGACGAGCCCCAAAGUCAGCGGCGGUGCCCCACCCCUUCACAGCGUUGCGAAACUCGCUGGGGGGCGUGCGGGCUCCUGCCAAACCGCCAACACGCAAGCAAGCUUGACCUCGGAUCAGGUAGGGAUACCCGCUGAACUUAA
rnacentral:misc_RNA from 1 species